rnacentral:misc_RNA from 1 species
UCCGGCUUAUCACCGGCGGUUUCUUUAGAGUGCCCAACUAAAUGAUGGCAACUAAAGACGAGGGUUGCGCUCGUUGCGGGACUUAACCCAACAUCUCACGACACGAGCUGACGACAGCCAUGCACCACCUGUGAACCUGCCCGUGAGGGAAACCGUGUUUCCACGGCGAUCAGGUACAUGUCAAGCCCAGGUAAGGUUCUUCGCGUUUCGUCGAAUUAAACCACAUGCUCCGCUGCUUGUGCGGGUCCCCGUCAAUUCCUUUGAGUUUUAGCCUUGCGGCCGUACUCCCCAGGCGGGGCACUUAAUGCGUUAGCUCCGGCACGGGAGGAGUCGACACCUCCCACACCUAGUGCCCAUCGUUUACGGCGUGGACUAC